rfam:Ipomoea nil DNA, scaffold: scaffold0268, cultivar: Tokyo-kokei standard.
GACUCCAUAGCCUAAUGGAUAAGGUGUUGGUUUACGAAACUAGAGAUUCUAGGUUUCAUUCCCAGUGGAGUUA